rnacentral:rRNA from 1 species
UACGGGGGGGCAAGCGUUGUUCGGAUUUACUGGGCGUAAAGCGCACGUAGGCGGAUCGUUAAGUCAGGGGUGAAAUCCUGGGGCUCAACCCCCAGAACUGCCUUUGAUACUGGCGAUCUCGAGUCCGGAAGAGGUGAGUGGAACUCCUAGUGUAGAGGUGGAAUUCGUAGAUAUUAGGAAGAACACCAGUGGCGAAGGCGGCUCACUGGUCCGGUACUGACGCUGAGGUGCGAAAGCGUGGGGAGCAAACAGGG